UAGGGAAUCUUCCGCAAUGGACGAAAGUCUGACGGAGCAACGCCGCGUGAGUGAUGAAGGCUUUCGGGUCGUAAAACUCUGUUGUUAGGGAAGAACAAGUGCUAGUUGAAUAAGCUGGCACCUUGACGGUACCUAACCAGAAAGCCACGGCUAACUACGUGCCAGCAGCCGCGGUAAUACGUAGGUGGCAAGCGUUAUCCGGAAUUAUUGGGCGUAAAGCGCGCGCAGGUGGUUUCUUAAGUCUGAUGCGAAAGCCCACGGCUCAACCGUGGAGGGUCAUUGGAAACUGGGAGACUUGAGUGCAGAAGAGGAAAGUGGAAUUCCAUGUGUAGCGGUGAAAUGCGUAGAGAUAUGGAGGAACACCAGUGGCGAAGGCGACUUUCUGGUCUGUAACUGACACUGAGGCGCGAAAGCGUGGGGAGCAAACA
rnacentral:rRNA from 1 species